GACGAACCGAGCGAACGUUAUUCGGAAUCACUGGGCUUAAAGGGUGCGUAGGCGGGCUCGUAAGUCGGGGGUGAAAUCCCACGGCCCAACCGUGGAAGGGCCUCCGAUACUGCGGACCUCGAGGGGGACAGGGGCGUGCGGAACUUCCGGUGGAGCGGUGAAAUGCGUAGAUAUCGGAAGGAACACCGGUGGCGAAAGCGGCACGCUGGAUCCCUACUGACGCUGAGGCACGAAAGCCAGGGGAGCAAACGGG
rnacentral:rRNA from 1 species